CAGUACCACCACCACCACCACCGUCUGACCAGCAGAGCUCCGGAAGUGACCGCCUCGUUAUUGAUACGGAGCCAGAGGAGGAGGAGGAGGAAAUGGGGGAGCCUUCAGGCCAGCCUGAUGUCACUUACGUGGACUCUGAGUCGGAGGAGGAGCCACAGUAUAGUAAGUACAGUAGGAUUUUCUCAAGCCCAUUCUUAAAAGUAUUGACCAAGUCCACUUUUAUUACUUUUCAGGCAGGGAAUUCGAAACGUACAGUAUUUCCCUCACUGUGAAGACCCCUUUUCGCCUCUGUAUGCGAAAUCUCCUCUCCUCCAACACGAGUGACUGUGCACGUGUCCUCUG